rnacentral:rRNA from 1 species
UGGGGAAUAUUGCACAAUGGGGGAAACCCUGAUGCAGCGACGCCGCGUGAACGAAGAAGGUAUUAGUAUCGUAAAGUUCUGUCCUAUGGGAAGAUAAUGACAGUACCAUAGAAGAAAGCUCCGGCUAAAUACGUGCCAGCAGCCGCGGUAAUACGUAUGGAGCGAGCGUUGUCCGGAAUUAUUGGGCGUAAAGGGUACGCAGGCGGUUUAAUAAGUCGAAUGUUAAAGAUCGGGGCUCAACCCCGUAAAGCAUUGGAAACUGAUAAACUUGAGUAGUGGAGAGGAAAGUGGAAUUCCUAGUGUAGUGGUGAAAUACGUAGAUAUUAGGAGGAAUACCAGUAGCGAAGGCGACUUUCUGGACACAAACUGACGCUGAGGUACGAAAGCGUGGGGAGCAAACAGG